CUGCUAUAACAGGGGAUGAUGAUGUAGUGUGUUGGGACAGGUACUGCUAUAACAGGGAAUGAUGCCCCAGUGUGUUGGGACAGGUACUGCUACAACAGGGGAUGAUGCUGUAGUGUGUUGGGACAGGUACUGCUAUAACAGGGAUCGAUGAUGUAGUGUGUUGGGACAGGUACUGCUAUAACAGGGAUCGAUGCUCUAGUGUUUUGGGACAGGUACUGCUAUCACAGGGGAUGAUGCUGUAGUGUGUUGGGACAGGUACUGCUAUCACAGGGAUCGAUGCUGUAGUGUGUUGGGACAGGUACUGCUAUAACAGGGGAUGAUGAUGUAGUGUGUUGGGACAGGUACUGCUAUAACACAGGAGAUGAUGCUCUAGUGUGUUGGGACAGAUACUGAUAUAACAGGGGAUGAUGCUGUAGUGUGUUGGGACAGGUACUGCUAUACCAGGGAAUGAUGCUGUAGUGUGUUGGGACAGGUACUGCUAUACCAGGGAAUGACGCCCUUGUCCGCAGGCCUGGGCAACUCCAGUCCCCGGGGACCUGAUUGGUCCCAACAAACACAACUGAUUUAAACGAAUUACAUUCUAAACUGAAGAUCAGAUUCAG
ensembl:lncRNA